GUGAAAUGCGUAGAGAUUGGGAAGAACACCGGUGGCGAAAGCGCUCUACUAGGCCGCAACUGACACUCAGGGACGAAAGCUAGGGGAGCGAAUGGGAUUAGAUACCCCAGUAGUCCUAGCUGUAAACGAUGGGUACUAGGCGUAGCUUGUAUCGACCCGAGCUGUGCCGAAGCUAACGCGUUAAGUACCCCGCCUGGGGAGUACGCACGCAAGUGUGAAACUCAAAGGAAUUGACGGGGGCCCGCACAAGCGGUGGAGUAUGUGGUUUAAUUCGAUGCAACGCGAAGAACCUUACCAGGGCUUGACAUCCGGCGAAUUCUCUGGAAACAGAGAAGUGCCUACGGGAGCGCCGUGACAGGUGGUGCAUGGCUGUCGUCAGCUCGUGUCGUGAGAUGUUGGGUUAAGUCCCGCAACGAGCGCAACCCUCGUCCUUAGUUGCCAGCAUUAAGUUGGGCACUUUAGGGAGACUGCCGGUGACAAACCGGAGGAAGGUGGGGAUGACGUCAAGUCAGCAUGCCCCUUACGUCCUGGGCAACACACGUACUACAAUGGUCGAGACAAAGGGCAGCCAACUCGCAAGAGUGAGCGAAUCUCAGCAAACUCGGCCUCAGUUCAGAUCGCAGGCUGCAACUCGCCUGCGUGAAGGAGGAAUCGCUAGUAAUCGCCGGUCAGCAUACGGCGGUGAUUCGUUCCCGGGCAUUGUACACACCGCCCGUCACACCAUGGAAGCUGCAACAUCCGAAGUCGUACUCCAACUGUUCGCAGAGGAGG
rnacentral:rRNA from 1 species